rnacentral:rRNA from 1 species
AUUGAACGCUGGCGGCAUGCCUUACACAUGCAAGUCGAACGGCAGCACGGGAGCAAUCCUGGUGGCGAGUGGCGAACGGGUGAGUAAAGUAUCGGAACGUGCCCAGUCGUGGGGGAUAACGUAGCGAAAGUUACGCUAAUACCGCAUACGAUCUAUGGAUGAAAGCGGGGGAUCGCAAGACCUCGCGCGAUUGGAGCGGCCGAUAUCAGGUUGGGUAGUUGGUGGGGUAAAGGCUCACCAAGCCGACGAUCUGUAGCUGGUCGGAGAGGACGAACAGCCACACUGGGACUUAGACACGGCCCAGACUCCUACGGGAGGCAGCAGUGGGGAAUUUUGGACAAGGGGCGAAAGCCUGAUCCAGCCAUGCCGCGUGCAGGAUGAAGGCCUUCGGGUUGUAAACUGCUUUUGUACGGAACGAAAAGGUUUGGCCUAAUAAGCUGAGCUCAUGACGGUACCGUAAGAAUAAGCACCGGCUAACUACGUGCCAGCCGCCGCCGUAA